rnacentral:rRNA from 1 species
UACGUAGGGUGCAAGCGUUGUCCGGAAUUAUUGGGCGUAAAGAGCGUGUAGGCGGCCAAGCAGGUCCGCUGUGAAAACUCGAGGCUCAACCUCGAGACGUCGGUGGAAACCGUUUGGCUAGAGUCCGGAAGAGGAGAGUGGAAUUCCCGGUGUAGCGGUGAAAUGCGCAGAUAUCGGGAAGAACACCCGUGGCGAAGGCGGCUACUCUGGGGCUUACCUGACGCUGAGGCGCGAAAGCUGGGGGAGCGAACAGG